ACCGACAGGGUCUCACUCUGUCACCCAGGGUGGAGUGCAGUGGUGCAAUUAUGGCUCACUGUAGUCUUGAUCUCCUGGGCUCAAGCAGUCCUCCCAACUCAGCUCCCAAGUAGCUAGAACUACAGAAAUACUAGGCUUUAGAAUUUCACCAUAUGAAUUUUGGGAGAGAGGAGCACAGUUCAGCCCAUAACUAACACACGCAAGACAAAUCUCUCCUCUGCCUUCUCCUUAUCAGACUACUCAACAUGAAGGCAAUAAGAAUGAAGACCUCUAUGUAUAAUAAUUGACUUCCACUUAAUAAAUACCUGAACAGAUGUUGAGUACAAGCUGAUCCACCUACGUUCAACCUGAGAGAGUCCACAUCCACAGACUGUUUCAUUUCCCUUUUUCAAUUUACAUAGAAGCAUAGAUUCUUGCUGGCAUAUACAAAUGCGCCAUUUAAGGCAAUCAAAAAUGGUUCCACAUCUCAUCUGAUUUCCACAAUUGUUGCUGUAACGAUGGACUACUGAGGAGAGAGACAAUUUCUCUGGCACAUCUUCCCACAUUUUAGCAACAUGUUCAUGGAGAGCCAAUAUUCAGUAAUUACAGCCCAAUUCCUCACAAUUUCACAAUUCGCUAACAAUAUGCAUUUUCACAAUGUAAAGCUGAUUUUCCUUUAACCAAAUCAAACAUGAAAAGAUAGCUGCAUGCAAUGGGCAAUCUAGAUCAUUAGAAGAUUGAUGUAAAAUUAGAGGACACUGAGACUGGAAUAGAUUGCAAACUUCAGGGAGCUCAGAAAACUUGUAAACUCUACAUUUUGAGGAAAUAUGUUGUCGAUGCUUUUGCAACUCUAUGCAGUAACUUAACAAAUAAAGCCUUAAAGUAACUUA
ensembl:lncRNA MIR663AHG MIR663A host gene